CCGGCGGCACGUUGUAGAUAGUUUAUAGACCGAAACAGAUUAUAGACCGAAACAGAUGGAUUAAGUGCCAAAGUAUUGAAGUGUUUAUUGAUUAUGUAUACGUGUGCAUGCAUCACGAUAACAACACAUUUCUUAUUCAAUAAACAAACCUACAUUUCUUGAGAUAUCGUUGUCUUGACCAGCAACCUGUAGCCUUCAGCAAUCCAACCAGUGGUUGAAAAAGAGAUUUUACAUCUAUGGCAAAUUCUAAGGUCAUUUUCUUGUUGUGUUUUGAUGUUUUCCAUUGGCCGAAGAACCAGCAAUCCAGACCAGCUAAAACCAGCCUGGCCAGCUAAGACCAGCCUGACCAGCUUAAACAAGCCUGGCCAUCUUAAACCAGCCUGGCCAUCUUAAACCAGCCUGACCAGCUAAAACCAGCCUGACCAGCUAAGACCAGCCACCCGACCAGCUAAGACCAGCUUAAACCAGCCUGGCCAGCUUAAACCAGCUAAAACUAGUCUGACCAGCUAAGACCAGCCAUCCUGACCAGCUAA